AUGAUUUUAAUCGUAUGUGGUUAACUUUGGAUAACUCUACUAUUAAUUUGACUAAUGUAUUCCGACCAAAACACUCUAAUGAUAUCAAGUUAAGAAUACAGCAGCUGAAAAAUAGAGAGGUGUUAGCUUCUAAAUAUGAUUGCAUGGAAUGUUUACAACAAAUACUAUUAUGGAAAUCUAAUGACGAAAAUAUAAAUGAAAACCUGAAAAAAAAUUCUAGAACAACUAGAGAGAAUGGAAGCCCCUUUUGCUAGAACAGGCAUACUUGCUAUUCAGAUUCAACAGAGCACUUUUACAUACACAUAUGGCAGCCAGGUUGUAAUCCCAUGCGUAAUAACCGCAUCAGAUUCUAUAAUAACAAAUGUUUACUGGGAGAGAUAUUCAAACAACGGCAAAAUACAGAUAAAGAACGGUGACAGUGGAUACCAAGGCAUUACACCCACAACACCUUCGUUGAUAAUUAAUUGUGUAGCAUUAGAAGAUGCAGGAAUAUACAUAUGUCAUAUAGAAAAUGCUAAUGGUAACCACACCAGUUAUCCUGUUACCAUAACCGUUAAUGGCGGUAAAUAUCUUCAGGAUUUACAAAAUAUAGGUUAGGCAAACUGAGCUCGUUGUUUUGUACCAAAUAAUUUCAAAGUAAUACUAUAACCUAAAAAAAAACAUUACGUAUAUAUGACCAUAAAUCACAUUCAGUCUAAGGGGUAUCGAUGGCCGAGUGACCUAAGAAGUUACACUACUGUAUCAUUAGCCUGUCAACAUUGAGGGUGUGUUUAUAUAUGCAGGUGCAUUUGACUCAAAUCUGAAUUGAAUAGUAUUGUCAGCCAAAGAAAGAAGAUUUCUUUUUGCACUCCAGCUCCCUCCACCAAUACGAACGGACCUCCAUAAUAGAAUGUAUUAGUACUUAAUGUGGUGUUCAAACAAUUAUCAAUUCAUCAAUUAUUUAGUCAAGCACAUAUUUCUUAAUGUACACAACUAAAACCAAAUUUGUCCUCUUUCAUGGCUUCUCGAUAUUACUAUUGGUCCGAUUAGUGCUGAUAUUAUUUAUGGAAGACAUCAUACCUUUAAGUGUUGGGUGAGUGAAAUGCCAUCUGCUACAUCAAUACAUGGCAGUUUAUAUCCACACUCUGGAUGCUGGGAACCUUGAUGGGAAAUAUACCGGUGUUUCAACAAAAAAUAUUUUUCUGCCUGUGACCAAUUUCCAGCAAGCUGACGCCGGAUCAAAUGUUUGCUUUGUAACUAAUUAUGUUGAAACAUCUUUAAGUAAUCCUCGUUUUGGUUUUAUCAUGUAUAAGUAAGUAAAAAACUGCAUACUUACUUACAUUGCCACAUAUAAGUUAAAGAUAAACACUGUGCCAUUUUUUUUUCAUAAUCACACUAUCUAAAGGAGAAGCCAUAUCUUUCAUUAAGAGCAUAUAGAUUGAGAACCCCAUGGAUAACAAUCGAUGAGCUCAUGGUGGUGUUUAUUUCAUGUAAAUAUCUGGAAAAAGGCUGCAUGAUGUAAUGAUAUACAACUACAAGAGAAACAACAGUCUAUAAAACGACCGCGCUACACA